UACGUAGGGUCCGAGCGUUGUCCGGAAUUACUGGGCGUAAAGAGCUCGUAGGUGGUUUGUCGCGUUGUCCGUGAAAACUCACAGCUCAACUGUGGGCGUGCGGGCGAUACGGGCAGACUGGAGUACUGCAGGGGAGACUGGAAUUCCUGGUGUAGCGGUGGAAUGCGCAGAUAUCAGGAGGAACACCGGUGGCGAAGGCGGGUCUCUGGGCAGUAACUGACACUGAGGCGCGACGAGCGUGGGGGAGCAAACAGG
rnacentral:rRNA from 1 species